rnacentral:rRNA from 1 species
UACGAAGGGGGCUAGCGGUGUUCAGAAUUACUGGGCGUAAAGCGCACGUUGGCGGACUGUCAAGUUAGGGGUGAAAUCCCGGGGCUCAACCUCGGAACUGCCUCUGAUACUGUCAGUCUAGAGUCCGGAAGAGGUGGGUGGAAUUCCUAGUGUAGAGGUGAAAUUCGCAGAUAUUAGGAAGAACACCGUUGGCGAAGGCGGCCCACUGGUCCGGAACUGACGCUGAGGUGCGAAAGCGUGGGGAGCAAACAGG